GACGAACGUUGGCGGCGUGCUUAAUACAUGCCAGUCAACUGAAGCAGUGGUAGCAAUAUCGCUGUGGAGGUGGCGCACGGGUGAGUAACACGUAGGUAAUCUGCCUUCAGGUCUGGCAUAACUCCGGGAAACCGGGGCUAAUAGCAGAUGAUGCAGCGGCUCGACAUCGAGACAGUUGUUAAAGCUAUGGCGCCUGAAGAUGAGCCUGCGUCUGAUUAGCUAGUUGGCGGGGUAACGGCCCAACAAGGCAACGAUCAGUAGCUGGUCUGAGAGGAUGAUCAGCCACACUGGAACUGAGACACGGUCCAGACUACUACGGGAGGUAGCAGUAAGGAAUAUUGCUCAAUGGGAGAAAUCCUGAGGCAGCAACGCCGCGUGAGGGACGAAGGGCUUUGGCUUGUAAACCUCUGUAGUGAGAGAAAAAAAUCCCAAUCUUUGGGACAUGAUGGUAUCUCAAAAGUAAGCCCCGGCUAACUACGUG
rnacentral:rRNA from 1 species